UUGAACGCUGGCGGAAUGCUUUACACAUGCAAGUCGAGCGGCAGCGCGGGGGCAACCCUGGCGGCGAGCGGCGAACGGGUGAGUAACAUAUCGGAACGUACCCAGACGUGGGGGAUAACACAUCGAAAGAUGUGCUAAUACCGCAUACGCCCUGAGGGUGAAAGGGGGGGAUCGCAAGACCUCUCGCGUUUGGAGCGGCCGAUAUCGGAUUAGCUAGUUGGUGAGGUAAAGGCUCACCAAGGCGACGAUCCGUAGCUGGUCUGAGAGGACGACCAGCCACACUGGAACUGAGACACGGCCCAGACUCCUACGGGAGGCAGCAGUGGGGAAUUUUGGACAAUGGGGGCAACCCUGAUCCAGCCAUGCCGCGUGAGUGAAGAAGGCCUUCGGGUUGUAAAGCUCUUUCAGACGGAAAGAAAACGCACAGGUUAAUACCUUGUGUGGAUGACGGUACCGUAAGAAGAAGCACCGGCUAACUACGU
rnacentral:rRNA from 1 species